rnacentral:ncRNA from 1 species
CUGCGUUGACCGGGUGCCGGACCAGAGCAUAGGUUGACUCUGCCGCGACGCGGGAAGCCGGUGAGAAUCCGGCGCAGUGGCGCUACUGUGUGGUCCUUUCGGGCCGAGUCAGACCCCGUCCGCGGCAGACCAUCCCGG